AGACAAUGUUGAAUGUUUUUCCUUAAAAUGCUGCUCACCUUGCUUUUUGUGACAGGGUAUCUCAUUGGUUUGGCACUUGCUGGUUUAGCAAGGUUGACCAAUCAGCUCCAGGAAGCUUUUGGUUCCUGCCUCCCCAUAACUGGCAUUAAUGGACAUCACCAUGUCUGGCAUUUUUACAUGGGUUCUGGAGAUCAAAGUAAAAUCCUCAAGCUUGCACAGCGAAACACUUUACUGACUAAGCUAUUUCCUCAGCCUUGUAAACAGCUCUAAUUUCUGGAGCCCUUUCGGUCCAGUAUUACAAGAGUAAACUUGGCCUUGUUAUAUUAUGUGAAGUGACUCUGUAAGAUAGGUAUAAUCAUUCUGACAGACAAAGAAGACCAAACUCAGUAAGAUUGCCUGAUUUGUUCAAUAUUGUCUACUUAGCAGGUAAUAGGAUGGGAACUACAGCAAGAGUCUUACAUCAACCCUCUUUUCUUAGCACAUUCUGCUUCUGCCCUGCUUCCUAACAGUCAGGGGUUUCAGAAAGAGCCCAUACCUACUGCAGUAGGCCCAGCAUCAGCAUCAGC
rnacentral:lncRNA from 1 species